GGUUUGGAAUAUAUAAUGUGCAAAUAAACAAUUUUCAAAAAGCAAAAGAAAAUUUCCUUGAAGCGUGUCUCAGUUCUCCAACCCCAAGAACGUGGUUAGGUUAUGGUUCUGCUUGUUUCAUGGCAGGUGACGUGGAAGAAGCAGAGAAAGCAUUUACUGAGGCUAAUAUGCUAGAUCCACAGUGUCCCAAUAUCUGGGCAUACCUUUGCCUUGUCAAUCUUCACUUAGACAGAGAAGAGGAGUACAGUCAGUGCUACAGGCAAUUAUUAAAGAAUCAAAAUAUUACUGAUGAUAAAGAAGAAACACGUCAUCAUAUGGAUCCCAUUUAAAAAAAGGACAACAAUGUGAUAUGUGACACAGCAAACGACAGAAAACUCAACACUAUAUCAAGCUUAAAGUGGUGUAAUACUAGCAGGAAUCAUGUAGUUUG